GGAUUAGAUACCCUGGUAGUCCACGCCCUAAACGAUGUCUACUAGUUGUCGGGUUUUAAUUAACUUGGUAACGCAGCUAACGCGUGAAGUAGACCGCCUGGGGAGUACGGUCGCAAGAUUAAAACUCAAAGGAAUUGACGGGGACCCGCACAAGCGGUGGAUGAUGUGGAUUAAUUCGAUGCAACGCGAAAAACCUUACCUACCCUUGACAUGUACGGAAUGCCGAAGAGAUUUGGCAGUGCUCGAAAGAGAACCGUAACACAGGUGCUGCAUGGCUGUCGUCAGCUCGUGCCG
rnacentral:rRNA from 1 species